AACGAACGUUGGCGGCAGGCUUAACACAUGCAAGUCGAGCGGGGAAAGGUAGCUUGCUACCUGACCUAGCGGCGGACGGGUGAGUAAUGCUUAGGAAUCUGCCUAUUAGUGGGGGACAACGUUCCGAAAGGAACGCUAAUACCGCAUACGUCCUACGGGGGAAAGCAGGGGAUCUUCGGACCUUGCGCUAAUAGAUGAGCCUAAGUCGGAUUAGCUAGUUGGUGGGGUAAAGGCCUACCAAGGCGACGAUCUGUAGCGGGUCUGAGAGGAUGAUCCGCCACACUGGGACUGAGAAAAGGCCCAGACUCCUACGGGAGGCAGCAGUGGGGAAUAUUGGACAAUGGGCGCAAGCCUGAUCCAGCCAUGCCGCGUGUGUGAAGAAGGCCUUAUGGUUGUAAAGCACUUUAAGCGAGGAGGAGGCUCUUUUGGUUAAUACCCAAGAUGAGUGGACGUUACUCGCAGAAUAAGCACCGGCUAACUCUGUGCCAGCCGCCGCGGUAAAAC
rnacentral:rRNA from 1 species